rnacentral:snoRNA from 1 species
CUGGGUGAUGACUCCAAGGCGAAUGCGACCUCCGUGCCUUCUGACUCCUGGCUUCCACAGAGGGAGGGGGAGGGAGAGAAGGAUUACAGUGAAUGGGGGUCUGGAAUCUUGGUAGGGGCGCCAGAGGCAUGGACCCCUGCUGUAAAGCCAGAUCAACAGAAUUGCUCAGGCCCUUGGCUCCCCGUGGCUGCCUCUAGGCCCUGGCAGCUACACUGAGCAGGGGCCCACAGGUGGGGUCAGGGCAAAAGCAGAGGCACUGGCUGCGUCUGAGCGCAAACCCCUAGAUCUGACA